rnacentral:lncRNA from 1 species
GUGCCAGGCAGGGCCCUCUAAUUAAUCCCCAGGAUCGAGGGUUGCGCAACGGUGGAGAAAUGUUGGAUCGGGAGCCACCGUCACGCAGUCUAACAGUGUGUGUGACCAGAGAGGACGGAGCGUGGCCACCGAGGCACCAGCCGGAGAGUCCCAUCUGGAUCAGAACAGAGACCCACCUGGCCAGUCUGUGAAGUUGCACACAGGCCACCUAUUUGCCCCUGUCACGGGCACUGGGGCUCUUCGGGGAAAUAGCAGGCUGUGCAGGCCCCUUGAUAGGAGAGAGCUUAGGGGAAGACGAGACACUAAGUGUGCAAAGUCACGGAUGAUCAUUCAGUGCUUCUGUGAGAGGAGCCAUGAGGGGUUGGGGUGGGAGGGGUGACAGGGACUGGGUUCUUGGAAGGGACAUUUAAGCUGCUGUAAGUAGGAGGUUUGUCCAGGGAGCACUCGGGAACAAUUCUCAGGUGGUAGGUGCAUGUGUGCAAAGGCCCUGGGGCUUAGAGAAUGACUCACUGGAUUAAGGAAGCGGAUGCUUGUGAGGAACUUGAUGGAGCAAGAUGUGUGUG